CCCAUUGGCCAUCACAUAGCCCAAACCUCAAAAGGUUGAGCCAUCUCUCCUCAUACUGAUAAUACUGAUAAUAACAAUAAUAAUAGAACUCGAGAGACUGGAGAUCGAGGUUUAGCUCUCGGGGAGGCAUGGCGGCGGCGGCGGCCUCGGGCCGGCGGUUGCCCCUCUCCGAUCGGCGGUUGCCCUUCUCCGAUCGGCGGUGAAGUGGACGAUCUGUCCCUCUCUCUCUCUCUCUCUCUCUCUCUCUCUCUCUCUCUGGGGGAAUCAUAUUGGGCUAACGUCUUCUCUGUCUCUGUACAUACAGACAUACAUACACACAUACACACAAACUCGCAGCAGCAGCAACUGCGAUGCAGAGGAAACCAGAAACAUUUGCUCGAUCGUCGAGACAAAUCGCCCCCCCAAGCUUCAAUGGCAGAAAGGUAAAGUUGAUUAUGAGGCGAUGAGGAAUGAGUUACGGGGUGUUCAGGCUUUUUUUCGUUGGAGAACUGUCCGUAUCUUGGCAUGGCGAUUCUGGGGGGCGUGUCGCAGCCAUGGCGGGGUUCCGCUUCUUGUUCGGUUGUUGCCUGAUAAUAUAUGGAAACUCUCAUCUGAGCCUCCAAGAUCUGCUCUUUUUCUUGCUUCAAAAAGUUCAAAAGUGGCGUCUUUAUGCGGUUUUCUUGGCCAAAAUCUUGUUCUUGUUUAUACUCUCUGUUUGGUCACGCAGAGUAUGAGAUCUCAAGAUUGCCAUCUGAUCUUUUUCGCAAAUGGGAUGCUUCUUGUUGUGGCAUCUUGGAUCGGCGGUCAGGAUCUUGAGAAUUCAUCUGUCUUUUCCAUUUUUGUGUUGGGUCGGGAGAUUCAUUUCUUUCAAGAGUUAGAUUCUCGUACUUUCCAACAAAUUUUUCUUUCGAUUGCCAAAAGCAAAACAACACUUUCUUCAUUUUCCCAUAAAAAAAGUAAUUAAUUUUCUUGUUUUGAAGUAGACCCCGAUCGUAAAUGCAUGCCGGGUUCCGGUGGGGGACACAGAGUCGCAGACAGCCUUGAAAAUGAAAGGAGCUCACGGCUUUUGAGGUUGUCGUGGCAGUCACUUCAUACGCAACGUUUCGAAAUUACAAUAAGGAAGUAUACCACUGUACGAUCAUCUCAAAAGAAACGCCAAACCGAACUUCACCAAAAUACCCUCCGUAGCUGGGGGCUGUUCUCGUAAUUUCGAGUACAGUGAUUUGGGAACUCAAAAUGGGUAAACGCCGAGCAUCGGAACAGGGAGAGAGAGAGAGAGAGAGAGAGAGUCUUGCUACGAAACUGAAGGGCUCGAGAAAGCUGAAGCAGAUUCGGCUUUGCUCUAGGAGAGGCGCGGCGCGGCGCGGUCUCCGGCCGGAGGUUGCGCCUUCUCCGAUUGGCAGCGAAGUCGACGAUCUCUUCCCUUCGCUCUCGAUCGCUCAAACACACGCACUCUCUGUUUUUCACGGGAAAAUAUCGGACCAGACUCGGAGCCAUUCUGUUCUUGAAAGCGUUUUCAGCUUCCGUUUUCACGAAAGCGAUGCACUUUCUUGGCCUUCUUCGCUGGCUUGUACAUGCAUAUGUAUAUAUAUAUAGUUAGACAGAGAGAUAGAUAUGUUUCACUGGUUGAUACAUUCUUCUGCUCCAAUCCAUGAUAGUAUAAAAAAGGUAGGCUGCGUGAGGCGAUGAAAGAUUUCACUGGAAAGAGAAAACCGAAAAGGGAACCAUUCAGGCGUCAGAGAACCGUCCGUAUCUUGGCAUGGCGACCGCAAUCCGGAGCUCGCGCGUCGCAGCCAUGGCGGGGUUCCAAGUUCCUUCCUUGUGCCUGAUAAAGAAGCGGUAUAUCCACAUCUGAGCCUCACUCAUCUAAUCAAAAUCAUCCCCCCCAAAUCUGGGUUUUUCUGGCCGUUCGAGUCUCUUUGGUGUUCGGGUUACCCAAAGGAAUGAUGAAAGUGGUCAGACUUUUUUCUCUUUCCAUGGUUUUACGCAGUGCCAUUAUUGCUCUGCACUGUGUUUGGAAGGUAGUGGGGGAGGAAGAUGAUGAUGAUGGUGCACUCGCCUUCUACUUUCUCGAGGAAGGAAAAAAAAAUUUCAAAAAGCUAAAAUUUUAUGGUUCUUUAAUGCAUAAUUACUUUCACGUUUCCCAAAAAUUAGUAUUUUGAAAAGACGUAUGUGCCCCUGGACGGCAGGUGUAGGUCCGGUCUAAAUCAAUCUUCACCGGUUUCGAUGCGCCUCUGAUCAAAUCAAAAUCGUUUCACUGUAAAACAGAGUAAUGUACAAAGUACUGUUGAAGGUUCCAAUGUAAUUUACGCACCAAAAGUCGGUCAAAAAGGUCACAGUUUGGGCGACCGAACAUGACGGAAUUGCCCCCAUGGUUCCGUUCCAUCCAGUUUCACCUUUAUGUCCAGCAAACAGUACCGUCCGUAAGGGGCAAAAGAGUAAUAGAAGCCUCUCCAUCCUCCACGGCUCUGCAUAUAGAAAAAAUGCAAAAGCUAUCACUGAUUCGUGUGGGGAGGAGGCUUUGUACCCCGGAGAGGGACCCGGGUGGCCCACUGUCGGCGGUGGUCGCCCCCGUCCCCUCUCCGGUCGACGGCGGAGCCGAUGAUUUCCACCACCCUCGGAUGCCGUCCUACGUCGUCAUCGUCGGCUUCUGGUUGAACGUUCAAGUGUACUACAUAUGGGUGUGUGUGUAAUGUAUCUGUAUCUAUAUCUAUGUAUGUACAUGCUUCGCUCCAAGAAAAGGAAAAGGAAGAGAAGAAGAGGAGAAGCCGAGGCCGAGAAAGAACUUCCAAACCCAAUAUCCUCCUCCUCCUCCUCCGCCGCCAAUGAGUGCGGAUUCCGCUGUGAAAAAGUACGAGAACGCGUGAAAAAAAAAAAAGGAGAAGAGGCUGUGAUGAUUCGCAAGAAUACGGAGGAGAGGGGAAAUGAAACGGGGCAGGCACCGAGAACCGGCCGUAUCUUGGCGGGGCGGCCAGAACCGGUCGCAGCCAUGGCGGGGUUCCUUUCAGUUGCCUGAUCUAAGGCGAAUCUGAGCCUCGCUAUCUUCCAACACCCCUGAUGUCUUCUUUUUUUCCCCCCUUUUCCCUGAUGUGAUUAUACGAGUUGUUCUUGUGUUUCACUGUGACAAAAAGGCGGGGUUCUCUCAUGGCCCUUUUCUUGUA